UGUCAUUUUUUCCAUGAGGUC
rnacentral:piRNA from 1 species